GACGAACGCUGGCGGCGUGCUUAACACAUGCAAGUCGAACGGAAAGGCCCUGCCUUUGUGGGUCUCUUGAGUGGCGAACGGGUGAGUAACACGUGAGUAACCUGCCCUUCACUCUGGGAUAACUUCAGGAAAUUGGGGCUAAUACCGGAUAUGAGCUCCUGCCGCAUGGUGGGGGUUGGAAAGUUUCUGCGGUUGGGGAUGGCCUCGCGGCUUACCAGCUUGUUGUUGGGGUAGUGGCUUACCAAGGCUUUGACGGGUAGCCGGCCUGAGAGGGUGACCGGCCACAUUGGGACUGAGAUACGGCCCAGACUCCUACGGGAGGCAGCAGUGGGGAAUAUUGCACAAUGGGCGGAAGCCUGAUGCAGCGACGCCGCGUGCGGGAUGACGGCCUUCGGGUUGUAAACCGCUUUCGCCAGUGAAGAAGCGAGAGUGACGGUAAUGGGUAAAGAAGCGCCGGCUAACUACGUG
rnacentral:rRNA from 1 species